UGCAGAUGGAAAAUCCUAUUUUCAACCAUGCAGUGAGGUUUGAACUGCUUCACAGACUGAACGAAACAAACACGGGCUCCUUUGAACAGCGUCCGGCAUUUGUUCCAACCACAAGAGAACGUCCCUCAGCUCUCCCACCUCCUCGGUUCUCUCCUGCAAGCCAGCAGCCCUGCAGUUUAGCCUGCAUCUCCCGUGCAUCCACCCAUCUCCCUCCAAGCACCUUCCCCCACACCCUCCACUGUUUCUGAGAGCACAGGCAGGCUUUGAACUUUUCC
rnacentral:lncRNA from 10 species